rnacentral:rRNA from 1 species
GAUGAACGCUGGUGGCGUGCCUAAUACAUGCAAGUCGAGCGAACAGACGAGGAGCUUGCUCCUCUGACGUUAGCGGCGGACGGGUGAGUAACACGUGGAUAACCUACCUAUAAGACUGGGAUAACUUCGGGAAACCGGAGCUAAUACCGGAUAAUAUAUUGAACCGCAUGGUUCAAUAGUGAAAGACGGUUUUGCUGUCACUUAUAGAUGGAUCCGCGCCGCAUUAGCUAGUUGGUAAGGUAACGGCUUACCAGGGCAACGAUGCGUAGCCGACCUGAGAGGGUGAUCGGCCACACUGGAACUGAGACACGGUCCAGACUCCUACGGGAGGCAGCAGUAGGGAAUCUUCCGCAAUGGGCGAAAGCCUGACGGAGCAACGCCGCGUGAGUGAUGAAGGUCUUCGGAUCGUAAAACUCUGUUAUUAGGGAAGAACAAAUGUGUAAGUAACUAUGCACGUCUUGACGGUACCUAAUCAGAAAGCCACGGCUAACUACGUG